UGUUGGAGGCUUUACCUGCUAGCUUUUUAAAAUUAGCUAUCAGAUGAUUCUAAAAUUAGAAAGAAGCUAAGAUGGAAGUGAAAUGUGAAAUGGCAUGGAAAGAAAUGGGUAGCUGAAAGUUCUGGAUCAUGGGAUCAUUUCCUCUGGUGGUGGGGCAAGUUAGUUUAUGGCCAAGAAUAUACACGGUGCUUCAAAUGCAAAGGAAGAAACUGUCUCUUCAAAUGGUUUACGGCUUAGAUGGGGAAGAAAUGUCUACACUCUAGAAAUGAAAUGAUGAAAGGACCUUACAGAGCAGGGGUACUCCUGAGAGAGCCAGGGGAUUCACAGACAAGGACCAAGUACUGGGCUAGGCUGAGGAAGUUAGAGAAGAACAUCAUUGCUGACCUCAAGAAGCUAAGGCUCAGAAGGGGAGACAGGGGAGUAAACAGCUGCCACGGAAGGUGCCAAGUGCUACGGCAGGCAUGUGACCAGCAGGAUAUGAGGAUUCACCUUCAGCUCUCUGUGUGCCUAUUGUGGGGAGAUCCCAAGGUGAAGGGUAAAGACAAAG